CCCGACUUACCAACCCGAUGCAAACUGCGAAUACCGGAGAAUGUUAUCACGGGAGACACACGGCGGGUGCUAACGUCCGUCGUGAAGAGGGAAACAACCCAGACCGCCAGCUAAGGUCCCAAAGUCAUGGUUAAGUGGGAAACGAUGUGGGAAGGCCCAGACAGCCAGGAUGUUGGCUUAGAAGCAGCCAUCAUUUAAAGAAAGCGUAAUAGCUCACUGGUCGAGUCGGCCUGCGCGGAAGAUGUAACGGGGCUAAACCAUGCACCGAAGCUGCGGCAGCGACGCUGAUGCGUUGUUGGGUAGGGGAGCGUUCUGUAAGCCUGUGAAGGUGUGCUGUGAGGCAUGCUGGAGGUAUCAGAAGUGCGAAUGCUGACAUAAGUAACGAUAAAGCGGGUGAAAAGCCCGCUCGCCGGAAGACCAAGGGUUCCUGUCCAACGUUAAUCGGGGCAGGGUGAGUCGACCCCUAAGGCGAGGCCGAAAGGCGUAGUCGAUGGGAAACAGGUUAAUAUUCCUGUACUUGGUGUUACUGCGAAGGGGGGACGGAGAAGGCUAUGUUGGCCGGGCGACGGUUGUCCCGGUUUAAGCGUGUAGGCUGGUUUUCCAGGCAAAUCCGGAGAAUCAAGGCUGAGGCGUGAUGACGAGGCACUACGGUGCUGAAGCAACAAAUGCCCUGCUUCCAGGAAAAGCCUCUAAGCAUCAGGUAACAUCAAAUCGUACCCCAAACCGACACAGGUGGUCAGGUAGAGAAUACCAAGGCGCUUGAGAGAACUCGGGUGAAGGAACUAGGCAAAAUGGUGCCGUAACUUCGGGAGAAGGCACGCUGAUAUGUAGGUGAAGCGACUUGCUCGUGGAGCUGAAAUCAGUCGAAGAUACCAGCUGGCUGCAACUGUUUAUUAAAAACACAGCACUGUGCAAACACGAAAGUGGACGUAUACGGUGUGACGCCUGCCCGGUGCCGGAAGGUUAAUUGAUGGGGUCAGCGCAAGCGAAGCUCUUGAUCGAAGCCCCGGUAAACGGCGGCCGUAACUAUAACGGUCCUAAGGUAGCGAAAUUCCUUGUCGGGUAAGUUCCGACCUGCACGAAUGGCGUAAUGAUGGCCAGGCUGUCUCCACCCGAGACUCAGUGAAAUUGAACUCGCUGUGAAGAUGCAGUGUACCCGCGGCAAGACGGAAAGACCCCGUGAACCUUUACUAUAGCUUGACACUGAACACUGGUCCUUGAUGUGUAGGAUAGGUGGGAGGCUUUGAAGUGUGGACGCCAGUCUGCAUGGAGCCGUCCUUGAAAUACCACCCUUUAAUGGCUGGUGUUCUAACGUGGGCCCGUAAUCCGGGUUGCGGACAGUGUCUGGUGGGUAGUUUGACUGGGGCGGUCUCCUCCUAAAGAGUAACGGAGGAGCACGAAGGUUGGCUAAUCCUGGUCGGACAUCAGGAGGUUAGUGCAAUGGCAUAAGCCAGCUUGACUGCGAGCGUGACGGCGCGAGCAGGUGCGAAAGCAGGUCAUAGUGAUCCGGUGGUUCUGAAUGGAAGGGCCAUCGCUCAACGGAUAAAAGGUACUCCGGGGAUAACAGGCUGAUACCGCCCAAGAGUUCAUAUCGACGGCGGUGUUUGGCACCUCGAUGUCGGCUCAUCACAUCCUGGGGCUGAAGUAGGUCCCAAGGGUAUGGCUGUUCGCCAUUUAAAGUGGUACGCGAGCUGGGUUUAGAACGUCGUGAGACAGUUCGGUCCCUAUCUGCCGUGGGCGCUGGAGAACUGAGGGGGGCUGCUCCUAGUACGAGAGGACCGGAGUGGACGCAUCACUGGUGUUCGGGUUGUCAUGCCAAUGGCACUGCCCGGUAGCUAAAUGCGGAAGAGAUAAGUGCUGAAAGCAUCUAAGCACGAAACUUGCCCCGAGAUGAGUUCUCCCUGAGACUUAGAGUCUCCUGAAGGAACGUUGAAGACGACGACGUUGAUAGGCCGGGUGUGUAAGCGCAGCGAUGCGUUGAGCUAACCGGUACUAAUG
rnacentral:rRNA from 1 species